AUGUAUACAAGUAAUUAAUACUUGUUGAUGAGUUGUUUCUACUUUCAAGUUUUAAAGGUAUUAAGGUUGAAAUAUUAUAAAAGGAUUGCAAAAUUUAUGCAAUAAAGCAGACAUUUUUAUAAAAGAAAGGAUGGAAGAUUUAAGUAAGAUAUUGAAAGGCACAUUUACAAAUGUAAACAGUUGUAUCUGAGAAGAGUUUGUAGGUAUGUGACUGUCUGAGAGUGUUGGGUCCAAACCUAAGCAAAGUAUUUAUCCUGGCAGAAUCUCUUUGCCUCUUAUUAUGGCCUGAAAGCAGCACUUUAAAAUCCUCUGUAGGUUUGUAAGAGGUCACUCUCUCCUCGACUUUCAAGUAGGACAAGAGAAAGCAAGUUCUAAAGAACAGGUUGACCCCUGACCCUGAAAACAUCACUGUACUGAUGAUUAGGAACAGAAGUUGUUUCUUUUCAGGGAAGAAAAUACUUCUUUUGGUAUCCUCAUUUUAUUUUUCCUGGAGGCAAACCUAGAUCAAAUUUUGAGAAAUCUAUAACUCUGUAAUUCUAUUAUUUAAAUUCCAAUUAUAAAGGUAGAAUAGAUUAGGUAGAGAAAUGUCAUUCCUUGCUCAGGGCUACAUUAGAAAUCCCUGUCACAGGUAGAAUUGGAACACAAGCCUCUCCCACAGUAUUAACAGUCACAUUUCUAUCUAUCACAUUCUUUUACUUACCUAAAACAGCUUUUUUGCAUUUUUAAAUAAUACAUAUAUUUUAAAGGGUAAAACCUACCGAUGUAUAAUCUCAUUUUCCAUGUCUUAUAAGCCAGACCGCUCUCCACAGUCUCAUAAAUGAUGAGAAAAAUUCUUCAAAUCAUGAUACCAUGAAUUUAUUGUCCUCAAAAGAAGGAUUCCUCAUGCUAAAAGCAGGUGCACCGGUGUGAAUAUGUGGCUGUCCCAUAUUGAGGAGCCAUAUAUUUCACAGUUAGGCUCUACACAGAGAAAUAAACAGCCAUAUGGCAAACAAACUUACUUUUUACUGCUUCAUUUUAUUUGUUUCAAAAUAGUGCAGUGCCACAAAUCCAGAAUAUUAACAACGCUCCAUCUGGAGAAAUGUAAGUUUUGGAGCCCUGAACCAGCACGUUAGCAUUCCCACAAAACUUCCGAUCUUCAAUCCACUGCAAACUUGGAACCAGCUUUAUGUCAACCCAGCAUGUCUUUCUAAUGCAAUGCUAGUGGCUCAAUUAAAAUGUUUAUAAAAUGAAAAAAAAAAAAAACCUUAAUUCUGGAAAGAUUUUAAAAGUCGGCCUGCUUGCAUACACGUCUAAUAGACUGUGUUACAA
rnacentral:lncRNA from 1 species